rnacentral:rRNA from 1 species
AGAGUUUGAUCCUGGCUCAGGAUGAACGCUAGCGGCAGGCUUAAUACAUGCAAGUCGUGGGGUAGAGAGGUGCUUGCACUUCUUGAGACCGGCAAACGGGUGCGGAACACGUACACAACCUUCCUUUUAGUGGGGGAUAGCCCAGGGAAACUUGGAUUAAUACCCCGUAACAUGUUGGUGAGGCAUCUCACUGAUAUUAAAGCAGCGAUGCGCUAUAAGACGGGUGUGCGUAUGAUUAGGUAGUUGGCGGGGUAACGGCCCACCAAGCCUACGAUCAUUAACUGGUGUGAGAGCACGACCAGUCACACGGGCACUGAGACACGGGCCCGACUCCUACGGGAGGCAGCAGUAAGGAAUAUUGGUCAAUGGACGCAAGUCUGAACCAGCCAUGCCGCGUGGAGGAUGAAGGUCCUCUGGAUUGUAAACUUCUUUUAUCUGGGACGAAAAAAGGGAAUUCUUUCUCGUCUGACGGUACCAGAUGAAUAAGCACCGGCUAACUCCGUGCCAGCAGCCGCGGUAAUACGGAGGGUGCAAGCGUUAUCCGGAUUCACUGGGUUUAAAGGGAGCGUAGGUGGGCUAGUAAGUCAGUGGUGAAAUCUCCGAGCUUAACUUGGAAACUGCCAUUGAUACUAUUGGUCUUGAAUAUUGUGGAGGUUAGAGGAAUAUGUCAUGUAGCGGUGAAAUGCAUAGAUAUGACAUAGAACACCAAUUGCGAAGGCAGCUGGCUACACAUAUAUUGACACUGAGGCUCGAAAGCGUGGGGAUCAAACAGGAUUAGAUACCCUGGUAGUCCACGCCCUAAACUAUG